GACGAACGCUGGCGGCGUGCCUAAUACAUGCAAGUCGAGCGAAGUUUUUCUGGUGCUUGCACUAGAAAAACUUAGCGGCGAACGGGUGAGUAACACGUAAAGAACCUGCCUCAUAGACUGGGACAACUAUUGGAAACGAUAGCUAAUACCGGAUAACAGUAUUUCUCCGCAUGAGAGAUAUUUAAAAGUUGGUUAUGCUAACACUAUGAGAUGGCUUUGCGGUGCAUUAGCUAGUUGGUGGGGUAAAGGCCCACCAAGGCGACGAUGCAUAGCCGACCUGAGAGGGUGAUCGGCCACACUGGGACUGAGACACGGCCCAGACUCCUACGGGAGGCAGCAGUAGGGAAUCUUCCGCAAUGGGCGAAAGCCUGACGGAGCAACGCCGCGUGAGUGAAGAAGGAUUUCGGUUCGUAAAGCUCUGUUGUUAGGGAAGAAAGGAUAUGUAGUUAC
rnacentral:rRNA from 1 species